rfam:Salmo salar isolate Sally breed double haploid chromosome ssa17, whole genome shotgun sequence.
UGCACUCACUACUGUAAGUCGCUCUGGAUAAGAGCAUCUGCUAAAUGACAAAAA